UACAGAGGGGGCAAGCGUUAUUCGGAAUGACUGGGCGUAGAGGGCGCGUAGGCGGAUGGCACAGUCAGAUGUGAAAUUCCCGGGCUUAACCUGGGGGCUGCAUUUGAUACGUGUUGUCUUGAGUUCGGAAGAGGGUCGUGGAAUUCCCAGUGUAGAGGUGAAAUUCGUAGAUAUUGGGAAGAACACCGGUGGCGAAGGCGGCUCACUGGCUCAUUACUGACGCUCAGGCGCGAUAGCGUGGGGAGCAAACAGG
rnacentral:rRNA from 1 species